rnacentral:rRNA from 1 species
UACGUAGGUGGCGAGCGUUGUCCGGAAUUACUGGGUGUAAAGGGCGUGUAGGCGGGAUUGUAAGUCAGAUGUGAAAUUCCAGAGCUUAACUCUGGCGCUGCAUCUGAAACUGCGAUUCUUGAGUGCUGGAGAGGAUAGUGGAAUUCCUAGUGUAGCGGUGAAAUGCGUAGAUAUUAGGAGGAACACCAGUUGCGAAGGCGGCUCUCUGGACCAGUACUGACGCUGAGGCACGAAAGCGUGGGGAGCAAACAGG